AAGGGAAAUAAUAUUAUGGUAACCGGUUUUGCAGGUAAUUUGAGAGAAUAAAAAGAAAGAACAUAAAUUAAGUAAAUUGUCUGCAUUAUCUUGCCAAACUAUACGUGGAGGCUAUGGACCAAUUAAUACAAGCUUAUCUGGAUCAUUCUAUCGAGGAACUGCCAAAAACGGCACUCUUAUAGUUGAGACAAUUACCAAGACAUAUAUAUUACACAAUGGAUGAUAUAUGGGACGAUUCUACUUUUCUUCUAACAAUUGCUUUGUGGUCUGGAUUAUUAGUUAUUUUGAAAAGAAAACAAUGUAAACGGAGAAGAUUUUGGGUGAGGCCUAUAUAUGAAAAUCGAUGUCAACAAGGAGAUUUUGCUGCUUUAUUUCAAGAAUUAAAGGAUGACAGUGAAAUGUUUUUUAAAUAUACAAGAAUGAACACUCGAAUGUUUUUAUAUUUUACUAGAAAAGGUAUUUCCAAAACUUGAAAAACAAAACUGGAGAGCUCUGCCAUCUGAACUACGCUUGUCUUUAACACUCAGAUAUUUAGCUACUGGUGAUCAGGUACUAUCCUUAGCAAUGGCAUACCGUAUUGGAGAAUUGACAGCACGUGCUAUUAUAAAAGAAACAAUUAAAGCCAUUUCGAGUGUUUUACUUCCUAAAGUAUUACAGCCACCAUCUGAAGCAGAUUUUAUGCGAAUUAGUGCAGGAUUCCUUGAAAAGUGGAAUUUUUCAAAUUGUUUGGGUUCGUUUGAUGGCAAACAUUGCGUUAUUCAAGCUCCUCCACAUUCUGGCAGUUUAUACCACAACUAUAAAAAAAACACAUUUA